rnacentral:tRNA from 1 species
GAGAUGAAAAGUCAAUAAAAAAGCUGCUAACUUUUUUAUUAGCGGUUAAACUCCGUUAUCAUCUCU